GAUCCCUGCUCCUGCUUCGUAAGAACACCCUGGCCGCAAUAGCAGUGCCACCCGCGGCCUGUGCUGCUUCGCUCAGCAGGGUCAGUUCUCUGUUAGGACUUGUUAGCUAUUGUCAGAUGCUCAAAUAUACAAGGAUGUGAGGUUCUAACUCACUCAAAUGGCAGUACUGGAAUUGUUGCAGACAAACAAGAAGAAACUUUCUGCAUGAGAGAACAAACAUUGCCUCAGUGGAAGGAAAAAGAGAACAUAAGCAAACUGAAAAUGUUUGUACUUUCUAAAGGAAGAAAAAGUCAAGAUGUUGUCUUUCAAGGAUGACUGUUCUUCGGGUACAUUGGUUGGGAUGCAAUCAGUUGAAGGUCCUCUGCACAUCCCAUUUGAAUAUGCUGAGAAGUCUGGCUACUCAAAACCUGCAUUUUCCAAAGAAUUUGCUGAAAGAUGAAACAAAAAAGGGAAAAAGGUCCAUCUCUAAUGAGAAAACCCUUUAUUUGCAAGAACUUCUCACAGAUGGCACAAGAAUUUCCUGCUAAUGUCUUUGGGUCAGAUCCUUACAUGAUAAACAUUAGAAUGUGUUUCUAGGUAACUCAGUCUUUCUAUUUUAUUGAUGUUUCAGAGAUUCUCUUUGAAGUGCCUUCAUUUGCACAAAAAAUGUACUGAGGCUAUAGCCAUGCCAAACUGUAUCAGCAGAAUAUAGGCUUGGAUCUUCAGCUGGUGGAAAUAACUGUAUCUCCGUAAUUUAAAUGGUUUAUAUAGGCAUUAGCUGGCAUGAAACACAUAUGAAUUUCAGCAAGGACAAAGGAAGAGCUCAACAUUCCUGUGCAAGGACUUAGACAGAUUUCUCUUUCUCACCUGUUUCUUUUUUCAAAACACUCCACAAAAUCCAUUUGGUGACAUUCAGCAAGUGCUGGAUGACAAGCAUUCUUUCAGAAAAGCUUCCGCAAUUCUGGAAUUCACUGGGUAGGUAAGGAGGGCCAUGAGGAAGUGCCCUUGCCAGGACUCUGAUGGGAAGUGUAAGCAGGAAAAACUGUUCUUUGCUCAAAUGCUGACUUUUGACUAUGGAUUUCAUACUCAAAGGCCUUUUAAGCAGAAGGGCAACAUACAUGAAAAAAUGCUGAACUACUGGUAAAAAUUUUAUGUGCCCCUUAGUUGUUCUUCAGAAGGGUCUCUGUACAAUGAGCAUGGAUCAGACCUUACUACGGGAGAUAUAUGCCUUACAUGAUAAGGCAGGCCAUACCAUGGACCUGCAGGUCUAGCCCUGUCCUCCCCCCACCCUUCCCCUCCACACUCACAGUGAGUUGGUUCUAACCCAUAUCAAUAAUUCAGUGAGAUUUGGAUCCAGUAUCUCACAACUGUGUUUCAGCUCAAUACUUUUCAGACAGAACAAAGAAGUAAAUAGACACCACAACCCCAGUUGUGUCAUGCAAAACUUUAACUUUUAAGCUGAUCUUUCUUCAAUUAAUCACUUAGAUUAUUUGAAUUUUGACCAUGAAAGUGAGUCUUCAUGGAAGAAAUUAUUUUUUCUUUGCAAUGUGGAGACAGAAUUUCCUAGAACAUGGGCAGGGCAAGAGAUAGAAUCCCUGAUGAGUGUUAUUAAGGACAUCGUUAUGAAAUAUAAUUCUUUGUAGUUCUUUGGAGGAAGGAUUUUCUUGCCACAGAGACUGUACUAUUUCAACAGCUAUUUUAAUAAAAGGACAUACCAAUGUA